UACGUAGGGUGCAAGCGUUGUCCGGAAUUAUUGGGCGUAAAGAGCUCGUAGGCGGCCUGUCGCGUCGGCUGUGAAAACUCGGGGCUCAACCCCGAGCCUGCAGUCGAUACGGGCAGACUAGAGUGCUGUAGGGGAGACUGGAAUUCCUGGUGUAGCGGUGAAAUGCGCAGAUAUCGAGGAGGAACCACCGGUGGCGAAGGCGGGUCUCUGGGCAGUACUGACGCUGAGGAGCGAAAGCGUGGGGAGCGAACAGGAUAG
rnacentral:rRNA from 1 species